rnacentral:rRNA from 1 species
GUGGAUUAGAUACCCCGGUAGUCCACCCCGUAAACGUUGGGCGCUAGAUGUGGGGACCAUUCCACGGUUUCCGUGUCGUAGCUAACGCAUUAAGCGCCCCGCCUGGGGAGUACGGCCGCAAGGCUAAAACUCAAAGGAAUUGACGGGGGCCCGCACAAGCGGCGGAGCAUGCGGAUUAAUUCGAUGCAACGCGAAGAACCUUACCAAGGCUUGACAUAUACGAGAACGGGCCAGAAAUGGUCAACUCUUUGGACACUCGUAAACAGGUGGUGCACGGUUGUCGUCAACU